UACGAAGGGGGGCUAGCGUUGCUCGGAAUUACUGGGCGUAAAGGGCGCGUAGGCGGCACUGUUAGUCAGGCGUGAAAGUCCUGGGCUCAACCUGGGAACUGCGCUUGAUACGGCAGAGCUAGAGGAUGGAAGAGGCUCGCGGAAUUCCCAGUGUAGAGGUGAAAUUCGUAGAUAUUGGGAAGAACACCGGUGGCGAAGGCGGCGAGCUGGUCCAUUACUGACGCUGAGGCGCGACAGCGUGGGGAGCAAACAGG
rnacentral:rRNA from 1 species